UACAGCCAUAUCACAUUGAGACACCAAUUCCCAUACAACCACCAAAGUUAAGCAAUGUCAAGCCUGCUCAGUACCUAGAUGGGUGACCACUUGGGAAUACCAGGUUCUGUAGG